rnacentral:rRNA from 1 species
UGAGGAAUAUUGGUCAAUGGGCGCGAGCCUGAACCAGCCAAGUCGCGUGAGGGAUGACGGUCCUAUGGAUUGUAAACCUCUUUUGUCAGGGAGCAAAGGACGUUACGAGUAGCGUUUCGAGAGUACCUGAAGAAAAAGCAUCGGCUAACUCCGUGCCAGCAGCCGCGGUAAUACGGAGGAUGCGAGCGUUAUCCGGAUUUAUUGGGUUUAAAGGGUGCGCAGGCGGAAAGUCAAGUCAGCGGUAAAAUUGAGGGGCUCAACCUCUUCGAGCCGUUGAAACUGGUUUUCUUGAGUGAGCGAGAAGUAUGCGGAAUGCGUGGUGUAGCGGUGAAAUGCAUAGAUAUCACGCAGAACUCCGAUUGCGAAGGCAGCAUACCGGCGCUCAACUGACGCUCAUGCACGAAAGCGUGGGUAUCGAACAGG